AUUGAAGAAAUUAAGGGCG
rnacentral:rRNA from 1 species